AAAUCAUCCUCACAAUUAUAAAAGCAAUAGAAUUUUUUCUCUCUCAUUAUAAUGAUGUUCUAUUUUCUGAUCUGAAGGCCGGUGGCCCCAUGGAGGUGCGACUGCUCAAGUCUCGUCUCCUCCGUCCUCACGGAUCAAACCUUCCUUAUGCUUCACUCCCUUUUGUUCAAGGAAGCCUUAAUGUGUUUGGCUGGAGACUUCUGAGGAAAGGCCAUCGGAAGGAAGAGGACUCGAUUAGCCAUGUCUCGAUUGUUUACCGUACCGGUCCGGAUCCGUUUUUUGGGUUGCUUUGUCUCCAUCCUCUCAAGGGCUUAUCAGUCUGAUGUCUGCUCAAGAAACUCUUCAUCUUCCUUAACCAGUUCUAAGAAAGCUAAUGAAAUUGAGUCUGAAAUCAUGUGGAACCAUUAGAGAAACAGAGUUCUUCUGUUUGUGUCUAUACAAUCUUGAAGAGAUUGAGCUUAGGACAUGUAGAAGUAUUUUUUUGAUAAAGAAAGAAGUAUUGGUGAUGUGGUUCUGCUGAAAGUUUCAGAGAUUUUCGAAUCUCUCAAGUCUCUCUUGAUAUAUGACGGUAGUAGGAAAUACACUUUAGUUUAUUUCAUGAACAAUUCUAGAUGCAAUUAUAUUUUUUGAAUCGUUAGAUUUGCGUCUACCGACAUCUCAUCUCUCUUGCUGCAAAUUUUAAAUCUUUAUUUUCUGACAUGAUACAGUUUAAAGGCAUAUCCAGAGUAUAUGGUUCGAUUUUGAGAGCUUAUUAAAAAAAAUUUGGAUCACAAGAGUAUAAGACAGAUAUAUAUGUAUCACUCUCUUCCCUGAAACCAAUGAUAAUCACCAUUAUGAGUUUGUAGGAAUGGUUUCCAGAAGCUGAUAAGAUCAAAGAUUCAGCUAGACAAAGCAAGCCGCUUGGGGAACCAAAAACUAGAGACCAAAGUGAGCAAGGACGCUGCCAGGGCAUCACCAUGUGGCUCACCGUGUAACGGUCUUCGAUCUCGGAUGCUGCAGCCCAUAUGUAAAUUUCGCAGUGGCCAAGGCUCGAACCCAGAAGCGGACACUUUUAGUUUUAAAUUUAUUUUGUGAAAAAAGAGUAUUUGUUGCUUGGAUCAUCUUCUUGCAUUUUCAUGUGACUAAGUUUGAGUCUCAGAGAGCAUCUUUACGAUUUGUUUUUUCAUGUAAUGUACUGUUUCAUAUUUGCAGUGCUUA